CUCUCUGGCACUCCCGCGAGACAAGUGUACAGUGUCGCGUCUCGCUCCCGUCUAAGUGAAGCUUCGCCCGGGUUCCAAAAAAGUGGUUCAGAACUGUUUCGGAGCACUUAAACGGUUCACGAGUGUUCAUAAGUGGUUCAUAAGCCACUUAAUAACAAUAGGUGAAAUAAUUGUUGAUAAAGAAAGGAAGGAGGAAAAGAAGAAGAAAAUAAAGAAGGAAGAGAAUAGAAGGGCCAAAAAUGAACUUACAAAAUAAAAGAAAAUAUAAGAAACAAAGAUAAACGAAGGAGAUAAAGAGGAAAAUGGAAGAACAGGGAAAAGAUUAAAUAAAAGGGAAAUAAGGAGUAAAAGAAGAGGAGAUAACAUAGAAAGAAAGAAAGAGAAAAUAAAAUAAAAAAUACAGGAAAGAAAAGAAGAAAAAUUGGAGGAAGAAAAUAUUGAUAGGAAAAUGAAGGGAAAGUUUGAUUAGAAAAAGAGAAAG